rnacentral:tRNA from 1 species
GGGGAUGUAGCUCAGUUGGGAGAGCGCCUGCCUUGCACGCAGGAGGUCGGCGGUUCGAAUCCGCUCAUCUCCA